GCAUUCGGCUUCAGCCAAACGCUUGCACUCGAUGACACGGAGUGUUUGUUUACAUCUACAAACGUGGCGACAUCAGCUGGGAUAUGCAGUGGAUUUUAAUGCAAUAACCGGAGAAUCAUUAAAGAAAAUAGGGAUAAGAUAAGAGACAAGUCAUUGUUUAUACCUAUUACGAGAAUAUGAGGACAUUAUUUCGAAAGAUCAUGGAAACAGAGACGAUCAGAAUCAGCUCCUUAGAUCCAUCACUGCAGUAUCGUCGAUACAUUUAGCCCAGCUGUCAAGAGUUCCAGGGUUGAGGAUAAACAAAUGAAAAUUCCUUCCAGUUCUCCACAGGCUAUUCCCAAAGAAUUGGACCUAUGGAUUCAUUCAGGCAGCAGGUUAAUCCAUCAUUUAAGAAUUGAUUCAUCCACAAGAACAUGAAGUGAUGGAAAUAAUUUGCACCUGCUUAGUAUUCCUUAUACAGUCUACCUAUGAAUUUGAAAAGCUGUUUAUAAAAUAAAUGUUCUUGAUCAAUGAAUAAUGCUUUGACUUUUUCAUAUACAUGUACUUACUGUAUAGGUAUUGAAAAGGCUAUUAAGAUUUGGAAAUCUUAACUUGCAUAUAUUUUGUGUGGUGGGUGUCAAUCUCCAUCAAGAUAUUAUUUCCAGCAUGUACAUUGUGUUAAUUUUUCAAUAAUAGAAACUGUAAAGGAGAUUAUUGAUUCAAAACAGGUUUACAAAGGGGACCACCAUUUUAUUCUGAAAGGAGGGUUGGUUGGCAAGUUUUCCCAAGUCAUUUUUUUUAAAAUUCCAUGUCAAUGAAGGGUAGACUCAUAUUGAUUUCCAAUU